GCCCUUAUGGUGGAGGGAUAAUCUCUGGGAAACUGAGAAUAAUACUCCAUAGAUCUGGGAUGCUGGAAUGCACUCAGAUUGAAAGCUCUGGCGCCUAAGGAUGAGUCUGCGGACUAUCAGGUAGUAGUCAGGGUAAAGACCUGACUAGCCUAUGACGGAUACGGGUUGUGAGAGCAAUAACCCGGAGACGAUAUCUGAGACACGAUAUCGGGCCCUACGGGGUGCAGCAGGCGCGAAAACUUCACACUGUGCGAAAGCACGAUGAGGGGAUCCCAAGUGCUUGCUCGUAAGAGUAAGCUGUUUUUUUGUCUAAAACACAAAGAGAGUAAGGGCUGGGUAAGACGGGUGCCAGCCGCCGCGGUAAUACCUGCAGCUCAAGUGGUGACCACUAUUAUUGGGCCUAAAACGUCCGUAGCCGGUUUAAUAAAUGCCUGGGUAAAUCGUGUAGCUUAACUAUACGAAUUCUGGGUAGCUGUUAAACUUGANACCNGGAGAGGCUAGAGGUACUCCUGGGGUAGAGGUGAAAUNCUGUAAUCCUAGGGGGACAC
rnacentral:rRNA from 1 species